rnacentral:rRNA from 1 species
GACGAACCGUGCGAACGUUGUUCGGAAUCACUGGGCUUAAAGGGCGCGUAGGCGGCUCGCGAAGUCGGGGGUGAAAUCCCGCAGCUUAACUGCGGAAGGGCCUCCGAUACCGGCGGGCUGGAGGAAGGUAGGGGUGCGCGGAACUUCUGGUGGAGCGGUGAAAUGCGUUGAUAUCAGAAGGAACGCCGGCGGCGAAAGCGGCGCACUGGACCUUUUCUGACGCUGAGGCGCGAAAGCUAGGGGAGCAAACGGG